AGCUUAAUGCAGCCGUGGACGGUUCCAAGCCCGUGUAAAUGCAGAGGAGGCU
ncrna:unclassified sequences type-P1 twister ribozyme